CGAGAAGCUUGCUUCUCUGAUGUUAGCGGCGGACGGGUGAGUAACACGUGGAUAACCUACCUAUAAGACUGGGAUAACUUCGGGAAACCGGAGCUAAUACCGGAUAAUAUUUUGAACCGCAUGGUUCAAAAGUGAAAGACGGUCUUGCUGUCACUUAUAGAUGGAUCCGCGCUGCAUUAGCUAGUUGGUAAGGUAACGGCUUACCAAGGCAACGAUGCAUAGCCGACCUGAGAGGGUGAUCGGCCACACUGGAACUGAGACACGGUCCAGACUCCUACGGGAGGCAGCAGUAGGGAAUCUUCCGCAAUGGGCGAAAGCCUGACGGAGCAACGCCGCGUGAGUGAUGAAGGUCUUCGGAUCGUAAAACUCUGUUAUUAGGGAAGAACAUAUGUGUAAGUAACUGUGCACAUCUUGACGGUACCUAAUCAGAAGGCCACGGCUAACUACGUGCCAGCAGCCGCGGUAAUACGUAGGUGGCAAGUGUUAUCCGGAAUUAUUG
rnacentral:rRNA from 1 species